GCUCGGCCCCGUACCAGGAAGCGCUGGGGGGCAGAGGAGCGGAGUUGAGGCAGAAGCCAGUCAGGAUGGUGGUGCCUUCGCUGAAGCUUCAGGACCUCAUCGAAGAGAUUCGCGGGGCCAAGACUCAGGCCCAGGAGCGGGAGGUGAUCCAAAAGGAGUGUGCCCACAUCCGGGCCUCCUUCCGCGACGGGGACCCAGUGCACAGGCACCGGCAGCUGGCCAAACUGCUCUACGUCCACAUGUUGGGCUACCCCGCCCACUUUGGACAGUGACCUGAGCCAGGGGAUUCAGCCAGUACAAGGCCUGGCCUUGUGCACUUUGAGCACCAUGGGCUCUGCUGAGAUGUGCCGAGACCUGGCCCCAGAGGUGGAGAAACUGCUCCUGCAGCCCAGUCCCUACGUGCGCAAGAAGGCUAUUCUGACUGCAGUGCACAUGAUCCGGAAGGUCCCUGAACUCUCCAGUGUCUUCCUCCCACCCUGUGCCCAACUGCUUCAUGAGCGUCACCAUGGUAAGGCUGUGGGGCCCCCCAUCCUUUGCUUCAGGUCUAUGGACAGAAGAAUUGAAAAUCGGAUGGGAACCCCAGCUCAUAGGAGAAUGGUAGUGCACACACACAGGCACACACGCAAUAGACUCUCUUGCCCCUGGCCCCCACCAUUCACUUCCCCGACCCUGACCCCAGGCAUCCUGCUGGGCACCAUCACGCUGAUCACGGAGCUCUGCGAACGAAGCCCUGCAGCCCUCAGGCACUUCCGAAAGGUGGUACCCCAGCUGGUACACAUCCUCCGGACUCUGGUGACAAUGGGAUACUCCACAGAACACAGCAUAUCUGGAGUCAGCGACCCCUUCCUGCAGGUCCAGAUACUUCGUCUGCUUCGGAUCCUGGGCCGGAACCACGAGGAGAGCAGUGAGACCAUGAAUGACUUGCUGGCCCAGGUGGCCACUAACACGGACACCAGCCGAAAUGCCGGAAAUGCGGUCCUGUUUGAGACAGUACUCACCAUCAUGGAUAUCCGCUCUGCAGCUGGCCUACGGGUUCUAGCUGUCAACAUUCUUGGCCGCUUCCUACUCAACAGUGACAGGAACAUUAGGACAGGACGGGGAGUGGGGGCUGAUGGCCAUGGUAUGAUAGAACCUCCCCCAUCCUGACCAGGUAUGUAGCCCUGACAUCACUGCUUCGACUGGUGCAGUCUGAUCACAGUGCUGUGCAGCGGCAUCGGCCCACUGUGGUGGAAUGUCUACGGGAAACUGAUGCCUCCCUCAGCCGGAGAGCCCUGGAACUAAGCCUGGCUCUGGUAAAUAGCUCCAAUGUGCGAGCCAUGAUGCAAGAGCUGCAGGCCUUUCUGGAGUCCUGCCCUCCUGACCUACGGGCUGACUGUGCCUCAGGCAUCCUGCUGGCUGCAGAGAGGUGAGGUGCCCAGGAGUCGAAGAGGGUAGAAUCUGGGGAGCGUCAGUACCAGGACUGAUGAGCCAUAUAUCCCCUAGGUUUGCUCCAACCAAACGCUGGCACAUAGACACCAUCCUGCAUGUGCUGACAACGGCGGGCACCCAUGUGCGGGAUGAUGCAGUGGCCAACCUGACCCAGCUGAUUGGGGGGGCCCAGGAGCUACAUGCCUACUCUGUGCGCCGCCUCUACAAUGCCCUGGCAGAAGACAUUUCCCAGCAACCACUGGUGCAGGUGGCAGCCUGGUGCAUUGGGGAGUAUGGGGACCUCCUGCUGGCGGGGAACUGCGAGGAGAUUGAGCCCCUUCAGGUGGACGAAGAGGAAGUGCUGGCAUUGCUGGAAAAGGUGCUGCAGUCCCAUAUGUCCCUGCCAGCCACUCGAGGAUAUGCCCUCACAGCCCUCAUGAAGCUCAGCACUCGCCUCUGUGGGGACAACAACCGCAUCCGCCAGGUGGUGUCCAUCUACGGGAGCUGCUUGGACGUGGAGCUGCAGCAGCGGGCUGUGGAGUAUGACACACUCUUCCGGAAAUACGACCACAUGAGGGCUGCCAUCCUGGAAAAAAUGCCUCUUGUGGAGCGAGAUGGCCCUCAGGCUGAUGAGGAAGCAAAGGAAAGCAAAGAAGCAGCCCAGCUUUCAGAAGCAGCCCCAGUGCCCACAGAGCCCCAGGUGAGAAGGCUAGAAACUCUGGGGUAGGAAGAUGGGCUGAGCUUCAUACCCAGCCCUGCCCCUUCUGUCCCUUCUGCCAGGCCUCACAGCUCCUGGAUCUGCUAGAUCUCUUGGAUGGGGCUUCUGGGGAUGUCCAGCAUCCUCCCCCUCUGGACCCCUCCCCAGGAGGUGCCCUGAUACACCUGCUUGACCUUCCCUGUGUACCUCCACCCCCAGCUCCCAUCCCAGAUCUCAAAGUGUUUGAGCGUGAGGGAGUACAGCUGAAUCUGUCUUUCAUUCGACCCCCUGAAAACCCUGCUUUGCUGUUAAUCACCGUCACUGCCACCAACUUCUCAGAGGGUGAUGUCACCCAUUUCAUCUGCCAGGCUGCUGUGCCCAAGAGUCUCCAGCUGCAGCUGCAGGCCCCCAGUGGGAACACAGUUCCAGCUCGGGGUGGCCUUCCUAUCACCCAGCUCUUCAGAAUCCUCAAUCCUAACAAGGCCCCCCUGCGGCUAAAGCUGCGCCUCACCUACGACCACUUUCACCAGUCGGUGCAGGAGAUCUUUGAGGUGAACAACUUGCCUGUGGAAUCGUGGCAGUAACUGUCUCCACUCACAGCCUGAAAUUCUCCUGUGUCCCAAACCCCAGGGGGCCCCAGCAGCUUCGAACCUACACCUGAGGGCUACCAGCAGGUGGCGCUCUGGCUUUGCACUGCAAAAACUGGGGACCAGCCCCCUUCUCCC
rnacentral:sRNA from 1 species